UGCAUGUGUGUGUGCAUGCAUGCAUGUGUGUGUGCGUGUGUGCAUGUGUGCAUUUGUGUGUGUG
rnacentral:pre_miRNA from 1 species